UAAGGAGGGNGAGAGNGGNAAUCGGAAUUACUGGGCGNAAAGCGCACGCAGGCGGUUUGUUAAGCUAGAUGUGAAAGCCCCGGGCUCAACCUGGGAUGGUCAUUUAGAACUGGCAGACUAGAGUCUUGGAGAGGGGAGUGGAAUUCCAGGUGUAGCGGUGAAAUGCGNAGAUAUCUGGAGGAACAUCAGUGGCGAAGGCGACUCCCUGGCCAAAGACUGACGCUCAUGUGCGAAAGUGUGGGUAGCGAACAGG
rnacentral:rRNA from 1 species